GGAGAGUUGGCAGAGUGGUCUAUUGCGUCGGUCUUGAAAACCGAAGUUCUUAACGGAACCGGGGGUUCGAAUCCCUCACUCUCCG
rnacentral:tRNA from 1 species